rnacentral:sRNA from 1 species
GCUGGGUGUGAUGGCUCAAGCCUAUAACCCCAGCAGCUUGGGAGGCUGAGGCAGGAGGAUCACAAGUUCAAGACCAGCCUCAGCAACUUAGUGAGAACUUGUCUCUU